AGUUGUAUCACAGUUAGAGCUACGGCCGGAAGAGUUGAAACUCGAUGAUCUGUACAGUUGGCUGCAAAUCGAAAAGAAAUCAAUUGAAAUGGCUGCGACUAUUGUGAACGCCUCGGCAUGAUUUGUGUCUUUACUAAAUUUACUUAUAAAUUGCCCACACUCAACUAUAAACUUGAAGCGCUUCGUUUAGCACAGACAGAAACCUUACCAUAAUGGCAUUUCAACUGCAAGUGACUAUGCUUCACAAACUGUGUUUAGCCAAGACACACAGCAAUGAGAUUUGUGCAUUGGCUGCUUAGCAGUUAGUGUAGCACAGUGGCUGUCAAACUGAAUUAAUAUACAAUCGAAUUUAUGGUUGUUAUUUUUUGUUCAUUUAUUUUUAUAUUUACCUGGCUAAGGCAUUGGAACUUAUUUGCCUGCGGCCGGAGCUGUAAAAGAUUAAGAAAAUAUAUGUUAGAAUAAAGUAAGAUUUAAAUAUA